UGUCAAACUGUCCAUCAUCAUCAUCAUCACUGUUUGACCGUGGUCGAGACAAUGGGAUUUACUAUGUUACGCAAGACUUCACUGUCCAUCAUAGCAUUACGGAGGUCCUGUUGCUAGAUGCCUGUAUACCUGGAGAUUACACCAGGGUAGGAGAGUGUGCGCCCUUUGGUGUUGCGGGUAGAUGGCUUCCAGAGGAGAAGAGUAGA